rnacentral:rRNA from 1 species
AUUGAACGCUGGCGGAAUGCUUUACACAUGCAAGUCGAACGGUAGAGGGGGCAACCCCUCGAGAGUGGCGAACGGGUGAGUAAUAUAUCGGAACGUGCCCAGUCGUGGGGGAUAACGUAGCGAAAAUUACGCUAAUACCGCAUACGAUCUAUGGAUGAAAGCGGGGGAUCGCAAGACCUCGCGCGAUUGGAGCGGCCGAUAACAGAUUAGGUAGUUGGUGGGGUAAGGGCCAACCAAGCCAACGAUCUGUAGCUGGUCUUAGAGGACGACCAGCCACACUGGAACUGAGACACGGUCCAGACUCCUACGGGAGGCAGCAGUGGGGAAUUUUGGACAAUGGGCGAAAGCCUGAUCCAGCCAUUCCGCGUGCAGGAUGAAGGCCCUCGGGUUGUAAACUGCUUUUGUACAGAACGAAAGGGUUUCUACUAAUACUAGGAGCUCAUGACGGUACUGUAAGAAUAAGCACCGGCUAACUACGUGCCAGCAGCCGCCGUAA